GGAUGUGACAGGCUGCGAGAGAUUUGAACGAAUUUGCAUUGUGAUUUCAGAGAGAGGAGACAGAACGAAAUCUUUCCGAAGAUGUCACUCAUUACUGCAGCCGGUCCAUAUCCAGAUUACUCAUCAGAAGGCCCACUGAAUUAUGAUUUCUUGGAUAAAACGGCGGAAUCAUUGUACUGAAACCAGCAAAAGCACUGGUGUUUAUAAUGAAGCCACCCCAAAUUCCAAUGCCAAAUGUGAAGCCAGCACCACACUGCAUUCAGCAUACUGGCCCUGCCCAUGCAAAGCAACAUACAGGUACUGCUACACUGGGAGGUAACUGAAGAUUCAUACCGUGGGUGGAAGCCUCUUUCGCUAUUAUCGCCUAAGUUGUCAUUCUUCAUUGUGAACCUGGACAACAAGUGUCAGUGGGAUAUCCAUCAUGAGAUGCAUCACAGCUGACCCUGCCCUCACCUGAAUGGAAUUUCCAUUAAGACUUUCAAGAUAAUCAGAAUGACAAUUAAGGCUAUUCCCUCUACACAUUGGCUCUGUGUUCAUUGUUAGUUAGCUGUUUUUGCAGCACUGAGUUUCCUAGAAACAGAUACAUCUAACCAUUUCUGUGAUUUGUUUUAUAAAAUGCUGCAUUGCGUUUUUACAUUUAACCCUUAAAUGUUCACCAGUUAAAGCCUGGAGGUCUAUUGAAUUCCGUUAUAGUUUUUGAACACAGCAAUACUAUCAUAUCGCUAACAUUCAGGAUGGCACCACUUAUUCAGAUUUAAUUACUGGUUAAAUAAAAGCAAAGAUAUAAUGCAUGAUGUUAAACAUCACUGAAAAAAGCAAUGAAACUAAAAUCAUAGCUCAAGAAGUUAACAUCCAAUUUGUGAAAUGUGUAUUUAAUAAGCAUCAGAUCCUAUAAAUUAGAUCUUUUGGAUUAAACGAUUAUAGGGCUAAUCUCUUGUACACUUUAAGGAUGAGAUUACACAGUUGACUUGAAUUCCAGUUUACCCAAGUAGUUCAGUAUCACAACCAGAACCAAAGCCUGAUCUCUGACUUAUGCCAAUGGAUGUAUUUAUGUUUCAGCCACUUGUUCUCAAAUAAACAAGUUCGAAGUUUAAAUGUUGCGAGGUAAGGUAUUAAUGGCUGGAUAUUUGCCAUUUUCAAUAUGCAGUGCCCCUAGAUGGAAUUUUGCAUAGAUAAUGGAUUACCCUAAUGGCUCAGUAUUCAAAAUGAAUAGAGUUGUUCUACUCCAUUGUCUGUCAAUCUGCAUACAUUAACAAUUCAAAUAAACUGUUCCAGCUACUAGAA